rnacentral:rRNA from 1 species
UCUCUCUGAAUCUGCGAACGGCUCCGCAAACCAGUUGUAAACCAUAGCAAGCAUGCUCGGGUGGGGACCCCCUGGUCGCAAGGCUGGGGACCCUGCCUGGGCUAUAAGGAUAUCCCCGGUAAUUCUGAGGCUAAUACAUGAACGUAAGACCUGGUCCCGAGGGAAACCGAGGGGCCGGCGGCUGUAAAGGGGAAUCCAAGGAAUUACCGGGAGUAGCAUCACAGUAGGACCUCCAUACCAAACAGUCCCUGCUAAUGGGCCCGCAAGGGUCCAGCCGUAGGUUCUGGGGGGCUCUUGCACGGUGCUUCUGACCUAUCAACUAGAUGGCAGCGUAAGGGACAUGCUAUGGUGACAACGGGUACAGAGGAUAAGGGUUCGAUCCUGGAGAGUGGGCCUGAGAGAUU